AAGUCGUAACAAGGUUUCCGUAGGUGAACCUGCGGAAGGAUCAUUAGAGAAUAAACUAUGGGUGGUGGUCGACGCCGCAAGGCUAGACCCUGCUCUUUAUCCACACACCUGUGCACUGUAGAGCUUUGACUUGACUGUCAAAGUUUGCCCUUUAUACAAACAUAGUAGUCCUAAACGUAACAUCUUAUUAUAACCUAAUAAAACUUUCAACAACGGAUCUCUUGGCUCUC
rnacentral:misc_RNA from 1 species